UACGUAGGGGGCGAGCGUUGUCCGGAUUUAUUGGGCGUAAAGAGCGUGUAGGCGGCCAGGUAGGUCUGCUGUGAAAACUCGAGGCUCAACCUCGAGACGUCGGCGGAAACCAUCUGGCUAGAGUCCGGAAGAGGAGAGUGGAAUUCCUGGUGUAGCGGUGAAAUGCGCAGGAUAUCAGGAGGAACACCGGUGGCGAAGGCGGAUCUCUGGGCCUUACCUGACGCUCAGGUGCGAAAGCUAGGGGAGCGAACAGG
rnacentral:rRNA from 1 species